rnacentral:rRNA from 1 species
CACCAUUUAAAGAGUGCGUAAUAGCUCACUGGUCGAGAGACUCUGCGCCGAAAAUGUCCGGGGCUAAAGUGUAAAACCGAAGUCGUGUCAUAUACAGCAAUGUAUAUGGGUAGGGGAGCGUUCUCAUCGGGCUGAAGCAGUACCGUAAGGAGUUGUGGACUGAUGAGAAGUGAGAAUGUCGGUAUGAGUAGCGAAAAGAAUGGUGAGAAUCCAUUCCACCGAAAGCCUAAGGGUUCCUGAGCAACGAUCGUCGUCUCAGGGUAAGUCGGGACCUAAGCCGAGGCGGAAAAGCGUAGGCGAUGGACAACAGGUUGAAAUUCCUGUACCGGUGUGAAUCGUUUGAUCGAAGGAGUGACACAGUAAGGUAGGUCAGCACGCGAUUGGAAGUGCGUGUUUAAGCAUGUAGGUUGAGUUAUAGGCAAAUCCGUAACUCUAAAAGCUGAGAUGUGAUGACGAGCUGUUUACAGCGAAGUGAUUGAUCCUACACUGUCGAGAAAAGCUUCUAGGUAGAGACACAUCGCCCGUACCAAAACCGACACAGGUAGGCGGGGAGAGAAUCCUAAGGUGCGCGGGAAAACCCUCGUUAAGGAACUCGGCAAAAUGUCUCCGUAACUUCGGGAAAAGGAUAACCCAGAGUACGUGAAGGAAAGAAACAUCCGGAGCGGGAAUGGGUGGCACAAGAG